CAGAGUUGCAAAACUCCCAAACCAUUGUGGACGAGCUUAACAGUUGCUUCGGCAGGUCGGGCUGGCCGUGAAAACGCCGGCUUACGCUUGCCGAAGUCAUCAAAACUCUUGUUUAUUGUUGGCAUCUCUGAGUAACUUAUAAAUAAGUCA
rnacentral:misc_RNA from 1 species